CAGGUCUGGCAGCUGAGCCCUCUUCGUCAGGAGUUCUCAAUGGCCCCCAAGGUGCCUUUGUUUCCUCAAGGGGUUUUCAUAGCAUCCUCAGCUGUGGUAAGAAUAAUUAGAAUUUCUCUUUAAAACCUAUAAAAGUCCAAAUUACAUGUCUUUUAAACAUUUUUCUGUUGCUUUCCUUUAUUUUAUGCUUCUGUUCUUGUUUUUAAGGAAGGCAAUGUAUCGCAUCCUGUAUUACCUUCCCCUGACCUCAUAGCUUCCCAAAACAGGAACAAUCAUGGGCUUUGAAGUUACAGGAAUGCAGAUGUGAUUCCUAUGGAUGAGGGUAACCUAGAGGCUAGAAGAACAAUAGGACAGAAGAAGCCUGGGUCCCUGAACAACCUUGUGGAGCAUAGACACCUACGUGGCCUGGACUGCCAGCUCACAAUGGGCCUCUCUGUGAGAGAAGGAAACUUCCCUCUUGUUUAAGCAACUGUGCUUUUGAGAAUCUCUUGGUCUAUACCCUAAUGAAUAAGGCCAUCAUAAAUGGAUAUCAAAGUAAGGAAAUUUGUGUAAAUGAUUUAAUAAAACAUUACCUCAGGUAUGAAAUAAUUCUACCUUGUGCCUUGACAACAUCAGGUAUUAUUCAUGCCCUUUUCUCUCCCUGUAAUGUCUCUUAUCCACGGGUAGAAAUUAUAUUUUCCAUCUAAGGUUUGCUCAAAUAUUAUCUACUUAAGUAGCUCUUACCAAUUUUGCCUCUCCUCCUGAGCUGACCCUAUGCCUUCUAUGCUGUUCCAGGUAAUAUUAAUCUCUUCCUUUGUACUUCUUUCACAGAACAUACUUUUUUGUCUAACAUAAUAACUAUAGGCAUAAGUGUAUAGAUUCCACUAGGGGCUUCAGAACAGAAACUAUCAUCUUAUUAAUUUUUUUCUCCCUGAUAUCUAGGGAAAUAUGUUAUAUAUAAUAGGCCCUUAGUAAUCCCAUAAAUGUUUGUGAGAUAUUCACUGACUAUAAGCC
rnacentral:lncRNA from 1 species